ACCGAGGUUGCCUCUUUUUUUGCAAGCCUUUUAUUUGUCUCGAUGGAAUUUAUUUCAUUGUUGAUUGGUCGUUGCGCACGCGGGUCGCUGUGCGAGACGCAAGCAGAGCCCCCGCUCCAGAUGCAAACGGAACACGCCGGCGAUCGCCUCGACGUCACACGCCCACGACAUCUGCAUCGCGCCAGCACACAAAGGCGCCCCCAUCGACAACGAGCACAUGCGCGCGUGCGGCGCCGCCCACACACAAAGAGCGCCACCAGAGCGAACCAUUUUUCGUGCCAAAAUGUGAUGUAGAGUGAUUGGUUGAAACAAAAAAAAGGGCCGUGCAAAGGACCAACACUCGCGACGUGACGGCACUCUUUUUUUUUGCUGCCCUUUGUUGACGCAGAUGCUCCCGCCCGAUCGACCGCGACUGCUUUCUUUUUUUUAUACAAAAUAUAUAUUGAC
rnacentral:lncRNA from 1 species